AGAAGGCGCCUAUAUUCGGACCCACUGCUCAGAACCAGGGAAUCUGGAGAGCAGGACACAUUUGUGGGGCGUCUCUGACGGAUACACUUCACCCCACCGGCCCAGGCCUCUGCCUCUGCUCCAGCUGCCAGACAGGUAUCCAUCUCCUGCGUGGUCCCCUCCCAUCAUGAGUCUGAGUUUAACCAGGUGACUAGCUUCAGCCCGGAGACAUCAGUAAGACCAAUGCAAGCUGCAGCUUGAGAAGCACUUGCACAACGGGGCUUGCCCUCGUGGAAUGCUUCUUCCUGGAACCGGGCUGCCGUGCUUUAAGGAAGCUCAACCAGCCGUGUGAACGGGACAAUGGUGAGGUUACCCCUGAGACCCGCCGGCAGGCCUGGCAACACCCAGUGGAGUCAGGAAGUCCUGCCAGAAUCAUUCACUCCCUCCGUCAUCCUUCCUUGAGCCCACAUUGGGGAAAACAGCACUCGCUGGGGGCAACUUUCCUUUCCCUUGAAAACUCUCUGGCUUAAAGCUCCAGUGUCAGAAAAUAAAAGCAAGCGUCCCAUGGA